rfam:Hordeum vulgare subsp. vulgare, WGS project CAJW01000000 data, contig: morex_contig_110477
CCAAAGGUUUUAUUUGGAACAUAUUGUAUAUAAUACUUACCAAAACCACAAAAAUAUUAUUUGAAAAGUUAU